GAUGAACGCUGGCGGCGUGCUUAACACAUGUAAGUCGAACGAUGAAAGCGGGAGCUUGCUCCUGCUGGAUUAGUGGCGAACGGGUGAGUAACACGUGAGCAAUCUGCCCCGAACUCUGGGAUAAGCGUUGGAAACGACGUCUAAUACCGGAUACGACGCGCGAAGGCAUCUUCUGCGCGUGGAAAGAACUUCGGUUCGGGAUGAGCUCGCGGCCUAUCAGCUAGUUGGUGAGGUAACGGCCCACCAAGGCGACGACGGGUAGCCGGCCUGAGAGGGUGACCGGCCACACUGGGACUGAGACACGGCCCAGACUCCUACGGGAGGUAGCAGUGGGGAAUAUUGCACAAUGGGCGCAAGCCUGAUGCAGCAACGCCGCGUGAGGGACGACGGCCUUCGGGUUGUAAACCUCUUUUAGUAGGGAAGAAGCGAAAGUGACGGUACCUGCAGAAAAAGCACCGGCUAACUACGUGCCAGCCGCCGCAGUAACAC
rnacentral:rRNA from 1 species